AACAGCCAGUGCAAAGGUCCUGAGGUGUGUUCACGCAAGGAAGCGAGGGUCACUGGAAUGGAGAGCAGAGGAAGGGUGGUCCGAGAGGAAGCAGAGGUGUGAGGAUCUCAAAGGGCCUGUGGGUCUCAUAAGGCCCUGGAGACUGGCUCUGCGGAGGGGAAGCCAUGGAGCAUCUGAGCGGACCGACACCACCUCACGUUCGUUUUAACAGUAUGGGCCGAGCUGGCGAGUUGGGAAGGGAGCCAGGGCAGAAGCAGGAGAGCAGAGAGGAAGCUUUGGCCACGGUGCAGGCCAGAGCUGAGGGCAGCCCGGGCGGGGUGCUGGCCAGCCAAGCAGUGGUGAGAAAGCCCUGGGUUCUGGAAGGAACGCCAGCAACACUUUCUGGCACACUGUGGGGGUGGGUGUGAGGUUUGGGUGGAGCUGUGGCAGGUGGGGGUCUGUGGUGUCAUAAACGGAGAUGGGCAGCUGGGGAGGAAGCAGGUUUGCGAUCGAGGGGUCAGUGGUCCACUUUUGGACAUGUUGAGCCUAAGAUGUCUAUUGGGUCCCCCCGGGGAGGUAUGGAGAGCAGGGGGGGUCAGGGGAGAGCACUGGGCGGCGACGGCCAGCUGGAAUGUUUGUCUUGGGUACAGUGUUGAAAGCCACGAGCCAGGGUGACGUCCCGCAGGGAGUGGGUGCCAAAGAGGAGACAGCAGAGCCCAUGUUUGGGGUAGGGAGUAGGGAGGAGCGACCAGCGAGGCAGGAGGAGUCCAGGACAGGGGGCAUCCUGAGAGCUGCACGAAGACAGUGUGGAGGAGAGACAAGGGACCGUGUCACGUGCUGCCGAUCGCCAGGUUCCACGAGUGCAGGCAGUGACCCGUGUGCUCAGCCACCUGGACACCGCUGGAGUCUUGGACAAGGGCAGCUGUGAUGAAGCCUGAUGGCUGGCUCGGGAGAGCCUGGGGGAGGCCGCGGGCAUAGCUCGUCGGUGGAGUGGCCUUCCUGAGUCACCAAGAAGGGUGGGACCCAAGUCCAUAGACAGGAGUGUGGCCCCCCUGCUGGCCUGGUGGUCAGAGCAUUUGGGCAGUGGGGGGGCGCUGGGGGGGUCUCAUGAAGUAGGGAGGCCAGAGGAAGUGGGGGGCUGGGGGCAAAGAAGGUACAGCACCCCCCCCACCCUGGGGCUGUGGGAGAGCCAGAGAGGAGGGACAGAGCGGGGACAGGAGAUCCCCCAAGGGCCCGAGGCUCCAUCUGGAACUCAGGGUGAGACUCCCCAGAGGGCAGUGUUUCCCUGCAGCUGACCAGGUGCGGAGGGUGGGCGCAGGAGGUCAGACACCAGAGGCUUGGCUGAGAGAGGACGUGGAAGCAAGAGGCCAAGGGAGGUGAAGUCCCCGUGACCGCGGCACGGCCGGUCUGGGGCUCACCGUGGCUCUGCUGAGGGGACGACCCAAAGAUCCCGCAGGACGGGCCACGAGGACAUGCAGCAACCAGCCCCCCUCAGAGCCAGGGCGUGGGCCGGCGGCCGGGGUGGCCGGCUGGAGCUUGCCUCUUGGCCAACCACAUACUGAUGAAGGCCUCAGCUCCCAGGGCCUCCUCCCCACACUGGACGGUUUGGACCAGCUGUGACGACCAGGUGACCAG